AUAACACCUGGAAACAGAUGCUAAUACCGCAUAACAACUUGGACCGCAUGGUCCGAGUUUGAAAGAUGGCUUCGGCUAUCACUUUUGGAUGGUCCCGCGGCGUAUUAGCUAGAUGGUGAGGUAACGGCUCACCAUGGCAAUGAUACGUAGCCGACCUGAGAGGGUAAUCGGCCACAUUGGGACUGAGACACGGCCCAAACUCCUACGGGAGGCAGCAGUAGGGAAUCUUCCACAAUGGACGAAAGUCUGAUGGAGCAACGCCGCGUGAGUGAAGAAGGGUUUCGGCUCGUAAAACUCUGUUGUUAAAGAAGAACAUAUCUGAGAGUAACUGUUCAGGUAUUGACGGUAUUUAACCAGAAAGCCACGGCUAACUACGUG
rnacentral:rRNA from 1 species